UGAGGAAGGGGCGACCCGGGCCCUGCUCUCCCGGCCUGCCUGUUUUAUCUCCUAGCUCUUGCUGUAAGGGAGGAAGGCUGCGUCCGGCACUGGUUUUCGAAUCCCUGCAGGCCCUCGGUCCCCUGUGGAAUCCUCUGGAGGAUCCCAGCACCGCUGUGCGUGACCUUGGUCUUGUUGGCAGGCGGGGGCCCUGUGCGUUGUGGGGUCCAGUCGUGGGGACCGGGUCGUCUCUGAGUCAGGACUGAACCCGAGCUGGGGGUGAAGCCUUGUGUGACCCUCUGCGUCCCCCCGAGACGUGGGCCUGCGUGUCACAGACGGUCGUCAUUUGCCUCCUGAGGUCCUGUCCCGGCUCCAGAUGGAAGUCCACACCCCCCGCUCUGAUCCAUUUCAGCCCAGCUGCAGAUCCCGCUGCCCAGGUCUAAACCAGUCAGAGCGUGAAGGUCACCCCAGACCUAGGGGUUGGCUCAGGGCUGGUCAGGUGGUUUAAGCCAGUCCAGUCAGAGUGAAUUCUGGAAUUACCAGCGGGCCAUCGAGAAAAAAACAGGCAGCCUUUUCCCACAAGAUGAAACCAAGGCUGGGAGCUGGGGGAGCUGCAGCAACCUUAUCAUCAAGAGGCGAGAGCUUGGAGCUUCCAGGGUCCCUCACGAAGCCCAAGAAGGGGCCAGUGUCUGAACACCUAGAUCCAGCUGUUCCCAAAACAGACCCACUUGACUUUGCAAUAAAUUAGCACAUGCGUGCACACGCACACGCACACACACGCAUGCACACACACAUGCAACGCACACACGCGCACACACGCGCACGCACGUAUUUUUAGUUUUUUCUUUAAGCACAUCUGAAUUGGGUUUUCUGUUCUUAGAGCUGCAGGGGUCCCAUUGGAUUCCCCCUCUGUGGGAUGUGGGACCCCAGGCCUGGCCUUGCUGUAGUGGAGCUGAUUCCCCCUCUGUGGGAUGUGGGACCCCAGGCCUGGCCUUGCUGCAGUGGAGCUGGUUCCUCUGUGGGAUGUGGGACCCCCAGGCCUGGCCUUGCUGUAGUGGAGCUGAUUCCUCCUCUGUGGGAUGUGGGACCCCAGGCCUGGGCUUGCUGUAGUGGAGCUGAUUCCUCCUCUGUGGGAUCGGGGAUCCCAGGCCUGGCCUUGCUGUAGUGGAGCUGAUUCCCCCUCUGUGGGAUGUGGGACCCCCAGGCCUGGCCUUGCUGCAGUGGAGCUGGUUCCUCUGUGGGAUGUGGGACCCCCAGGCCUGGGCUUGCUGUAGUGGAGCUGAUUCCUCCUCUGUGGGAUGUGGGACCCCAGGCCUGGCCUUGCUGUAGUGGAGCUGAUUCCCCCUCUGUGGGAUGUGGGACCCCAGGCCUGGCCUUGCUGUAGUGGAGCUGGUUCCUCUGUGGGAUGUGGGACCCCCAGGCCUGGGCUUGCUGUAGUGGAGCUGAUUCCCCCUCUGUGGGAUCGGGGACCCCCAGGCCUGGGCUUGCUGUAGUGGAGCUGAUUCCUCCUCUGUGGGAUCGGGGACCCCCAGGCCUGGCCUUGCUGUAGUGGAGCUGAUUCCUCCUCUGUGGGAUCGGGGACCCCCAGGCCUGGCCUUGCUGUAGUGGAGCUGAUUCCUCUUCUGUGGGAUCGGGGACCCCCAGGCCUGGCCUUGCUGUAGUGGAGCUGAUUCCUCUUCUGUGGGAUUGGAGACCCCCAGGCCUGGCCUUGCUGUAGUGGAGCUGAUUCCUCUUCUGUGGGAUCGGGGACCCCCAGGCCUGGCCUUGCUGUAGUGGAGCUGAUUCCUCUUCUGUGGGAUCGGGGACCCCCAGGCCUGGGCUUGCUGCACAGUGGGGGCUCUUGCUCUCCUUUUGAGGGUUCAGCAUCCUGCUGCCUCCCCCCAGGUGUAGGUGGCCCCUGCUGUAGGAAACCUGUCUGCCAAAAUAAAGUCUGGCAGAAGUG